AGCAGAGACAGCCUCGCUCAGGAACAAAACUGCAGCUCCAAGACAGAACAGUGCCUGGGUUUCUUUGGCAAUAAAAGAACUCAGCUUCUGAGGAGUCCAACCCAGCCACACGGGAGGUCACAUGCUGAAGAACCACCCCAUCUAAGCGCCCAUUUUACAGCUGGAACCACUGAGGUUAUGUGGAUGAGCCGUCUUGGGAGUGGUCUCCCCAGCCCCAGGUGAGCUACCCCAGCUGAUGCCAGCAGAAAUGAGAUGGCCCCUCCAAGCACUGUCCAAAUUGCAGAAUGAUAAGCAAAUAAAUGACUGUCAUGUGAA